rnacentral:rRNA from 1 species
UACGGGGGGGGGCAAGCGUUGUUCGGAAUUACUGGGCGUAAAGGGCUCGUAGGCGGCCAACUAAGUCGGAUGUGAAAUCCCCAGGCUCAACUUGGGAACUGCAUCCGAUACUGGAUGGCUUGAAUCCGGGAGAGGGAUGCAGAAUUCCAGGUGUAGCGGUGAAAUGCGUAGAUAUCUGGAGGAACACCGGUGGCGAAGGCGGCAUCCUGGACCAACACUGACGCUGAGGAGCGAAAGUGUGGGGAGCGAACAGG